AUACGGAGGAUCCGAGCGUUAUCCGGAUUUAUUGGGUUUAAAGGGUGCGCAGGCGGGAGGGUAAAUCGGCGGUGAAAUUUUGCAGCUCAAAUGUAAAAGUGCCUUCGGAACUGGUUUCCUUGAGGGUAGAUGAAGGAGGCGGAAUUUGUGGUGUAGCGGGGAAAUGCAUAGAUAUCACGAGGAACUCCGAUUGCGCAGGCAGCUUACUAAACUACUACUGACGCUCAGGCACGAAGGCGUGGGGAUCAAACAGGAUUAGAUACCCUGGUAGUCCACGCAGUAAACGAUGAUUACUAGCUGUUUGCGAUACAAUGUAAGCGGCUGAGCGAAAGCGUUAAGUAAUCCACCUGGGGAGUACGUUCGCAAGAAUGAAACUUAAAGGAAUUGACGGGG
rnacentral:rRNA from 1 species